UACGUAGGGUGCAAGCGUUGUCCGGAAUUAUUGGGCGUAAAGAGCUCGUAGGCGGUCUGUCGCGUCGGCUGUGAAAACCUGGGGCUCAACUCCGGGCCUGCAGCCGAUACGGGCUGACUAGAAUUCGGUAGGGGAGACUGGAAUUCCUGGUGUAGCGGUGAAAUGCGCAGAUAUCAGGAGGAACACCGGUGGCGAAGGCGGGGUCUCUGGGGCCGAUAUUGACGCUGAGGAGCGAAAGCGUGGGGGAGCAAACAGG
rnacentral:rRNA from 1 species